GGCUGGCCGGUCCGCCUCACCGCGAGUACUGGUCCGGCUGGACCUUUCCUUCUGGGGAAUCUCAUGGCCUUCACUGGCUGUGGGGGGAACCAGGACUUUUACUGUGAAAAAAUUAGAGUGUUCAAAGCAGGCCUUUGCUCGAAUACAUUAGCAUGGAAUAAUAGAAUAGGACGUGCGGUUCUAUUUUGUUGGUUUCUAGGACCGCCGUAAUGAUUAAUAGGGAUAGUCGGGGGCGUCAGUAUUCAGCUGUCAGAGGUGAAAUUCUUGGAUUUGCUGAAGACUAACUACUGCGAAAGCAUUCGCCAAGGAUGUUUUCAUUAAUCAGGGAACGAAAGUUAGGGGAUCGAAGA
rnacentral:rRNA from 1 species